CAAUAGCGUAUAUUAAAGUUGUUGCAGUUAAAAAGCUCGUAGUUGAAUUUCUGGCGGGCGCGCCGGUCUUCCAAGUGUUGUACUGGGCGCAGUCCGCCAUCCUUGUGGAGAGGGCUCGCAUUGAGUUGCGUGUCGGAUCUGCAUCAUUUACUGUGAAAAAAUUAGAGUGUUUAAAGCAGGCUGUCGCUUGAGUACGUUAGCAUGGAAUAAUAAGAUAGGACUUCGGUCUAUUUUGUUGGUUGCGAACCGAGGUAAUGAUUAAUAGGGAUAGUUGGGGGUAUUCAUAUUUAAUUGUCAGAGGUGAAAUUCUUGGAUUUAUGAAAGAUGAACAACUGCGAAAGCAUUUACCAAGGAUGUUUUCAUUAA
rnacentral:rRNA from 1 species